AAAUGCCGUAUGUAGGAUCUGGCGGCCGAGCGAAACUAUGGCCUCGCUUCGUUGACCUUAUCAUCCCUAUAAAUAGGUCCAAUCCCUUCUUAAUUUCGCAUCAUCCGAUCGAUCUUCCAAUCCAUUACUUCAAAUUUACAGCAACUUGAAAUUCAAAGCGAGCGUCUACCAGAGCAGGAAAAUGUCUCAUCAUGGACAUCAUCAGCAGCAGUAUCACUACAUGUACCAUGGUGAGGGACAUCAUGGCCAUGAAGUACAUAUGGGUCUCGGCCAUGGCCAUCACGGGGGAGGAAAUUAUGGCGGGUUUGGUCCGGGAGGACAUCAUGGGCAUGGGUUCCUGGGACAUGGCCAUCAUGGGGUCAUCCAUGGGCACGGGCAAGGGCAUGGGCUUGGGCACAGGCUUGGGCACGCCAUAAAUGGGCUUCUAGGGAAUUUGCAUCCUCAUCACCAUCAUGCCCAUCAUCAUGGGCAUGGUCUUUUUGGACACAUGAACGGAGGUCAUGCUGUUCCAGUUCAUGGAUGGGGACAUAAUCCACAUGGCCUUGGAGGAGGACAUCAUCAUCAUCACCAUGGUUGAUGUCGCUGACUUGUUUGAUUGGUGUUUCGACUUGUUGAUAUCAUGCCGGUCUGUCGCCCGGUCAACUCGGAUUGAAUCUUGGGGCUUUGUUAUUGUGACGUUGGCUUUUUCUUUUUUGGAAUAUUACUGUCCUCAACCGAGGGAAUUGGAUCAAUUUGUGGUUGAGGACAGUGCCAUAAAGCAUGUCAAUCUAGUUGUGGGUAUUUAACCCACUCUCACUCACUUCAGACGUGGUGUUUACCUUGGUAUACCAAUUCAAUGAUGAAGGCUUUAGACAUGUAAAUUCGAUGGAAGACAUCAUCACGGUAGACAUAGUCAUCAUGGGAUUGGUAAGGGGGGCGGACACGGGCAUCAUGGGGGGCACGGUCCCCACGGAGGAGGACUCCUCUUUGGGCAUGGUCUCGGAGGACAUGGGUGUCAUGGACAUGAACAGGGGCUUCACCUGAGCGGUGUUUUGGGGCAUGGGGGUCGUGGACAUGGACAUGGGCAUCACGUGAGGGUUCUUUUAGUCCACGGACAUGGACUUUUCAAACACGGUCAUCAUGGUCAUUGCAAAGGUCACGGUCAUGGUCACAAAGGGCGCCAUGCGCAUGGCCGCUGCGGGGGGCAUCAUAUCUGUAUGGAGCAACCGGAACAGGAACAAGAACAGCAACAGGAACAGGAAGUCGCAGCUGCGACGCCGACUCCGAUAACCGAGCAGCUCGGUACUCUCGCUCUGACUGCUGAUUAGGGAGGAGGCCACUUGGAGCUGGGUCUUAAACAUCAGCGACGCCCGGGUUAGCGAUAAAUAUGUUUUGGAGAUUCCGUGUCUUGGCUCCUACCAAUAAUCAGUACCAGUUUUAUCUUUUUGGGUUGUUUCGUGGAUGAUCAGAUUCAACGGUUUGAAGUGUUGUGGAGGUUGAUGGCUGUUGUGGAGGUCAAUGGAAGUUUCUCUAUACAGCUUGUGUACCAAUAUUAUGCGAUGGUACACUAAAAAUUAGCGUGAUGGUAUCGGUCAUUUGAGGUUUCGGAUCAAAUGGUUCCAUAUAUUUUAUGCAGAAGAUAUGAAGGUUCUGAAUUAUGUUCUGAAUUAGAAAUGAUGUGUUGCUGAGCUCUUCGAGGGCAUCAUUGGCAUGCAUGAGCAAAUUGACCAGAAUUAAUUGAUAGGUAAGGUUUCUGACAGCAAACAGCGCGGACAAUGGCAUAUGCUUUCCAUCUUGUCAUUCAAGUAACUCCGGCAAAAUGUUGGAUUAUAAUGUCUCAGUGCUGCUGGUUUUUCGACUGAUGUUCCUCUGUUCUGUUUUUCUUAUUAUGGUUUAUUUUUCUUGCUAAGUUGGUUAUAUUAUGCAGCUGGUAUUUUUGUUAUUUAGGAAGUGAAUUAGCACGUUUAGGUGCAGUUAUAUGCUGCACGUGUGUGUGGUUUGUAAGCAGUUAUUGUUCUUGUUUAAGUUGCCUUGUACUUGACAGUUUUCUUAGAUAGAACUGAUGUAUGCAAGUUCGUGUUUUGUUU